UUUGAGGGGUUAAGGCUCCCAGUAGACGACUGGGUUGAUAGGCCAGAUAUGGAAGCCCGGUAACGGGUGGAGUUGACUGGUACUAAUAGGCCGAGGGCUUGUCCUC
rnacentral:rRNA from 1 species